GUUCCUGCAGGGGUGCUGGGCCCCUGCGGCUCCCACCAUAUUGCGCUGGACUCUUGUGGCCCGUGCUGACCUGGUGUUCCAGAUGCUGUCUCUGCAGAGCUCUGCGUGGUCUCUGGUGUUAGAGAGGUGGCCACCCACCGCCCUAUCAUUGUCCUCGUCCCCACUGUGAGGAGAAGCUAUCAGAUCUGCCUGUGGCCCCCAGGUGGCUCAGGAAGGGCCGUCCUGACCCCCAUCCUGGCCCCUUUCGGAGCUGCAGAGAUUUCCUGUGCCUCCAGCUCUGGCUUCCUGGGUCUGUCCGUGCAUGGAGCGGGCACAGGCUUCCCGUAGACACGGUUGCCCAGAGUGGGGUUCAUAACUGGGCACUGUAAAGGGUGUGGUCUCCACGGCUUAGGAUGGGCCCCCCCUCCUGGUGGCCUGCUGUGCCCGGGGCUGGUGUGGAGGCGUGUGGGUGCAGAGGCCGCCCAGCCCUGGGCUUCCUCUGGGGUUACAUGUGUACCCUUGCACCCACCUGUUAGCACCCACCGGGAGAGUCUCACUCAGCCUAAACCAGGGCCCCUCAGGAGGAAAAGGUCCCCAGCUUCAUGAUGGGGCCCGGUGUGCCUUCCAUCCCCGCCCUGACUCAGUGCCCACUGUGCGAGGUGUGAGCACUGUACACAGCAGCCAGGGCGGCUGGUGGGGAGUGCAGUGGAGGGGGUUGAGGCCUCUUGGGCACCUGGUGAGUUCUCAAGGGUGAGAGGAAGCCGAGGCCAUCAGGCUUAGCUGACGCUGCAUGGGGCAGGCUGCCAAGAGGGAGGCUGAAUGGAGCAGCCUCAGGUGAGCCGACAACCCUCACCUCCGCCUGGUCAGCCAGGACCCGGCUCCCCUCCAGUCCCGCCUGCUUUCCCCAAAGCAGAUCCGGCCAGUCUCAAUGGCUCGUCCGGGGGGUGCUGGUUAGGCUGUGAGCAUCCUUCCUGGGUGCAGGCCCCCGACAGCCAGCAGUGCUGUGCUGUGUGUGUGUUGGGGACUCUGCUGAGCCCUUUGUGGCCAGACUGGGGAGGCUCCUCCGGGCUGGCUCUGUCCCCUGUACCUUGUGAGGGAGGGGCUGACCCCCGACUGGGUUACAUCGUGGUGAGCGGUUCAGAAACAAGCUGUGGAAUGAAGUGGACGUGGCGUUUUAAACACAUGAGCCCGUCUGUUCUUAGGGCUUUUGUUUGUUGUCCCAGUCCGUGACUCCAAGACUGGGACCCCCAGAGUUCCCAGGAUGGUCUGGAGCCUUUAUCCUCAGGUCAGCAUUGUGGAGUUAAAGGGAGGGGACCACGGCCCCUCAUUCUCAGCAGAGCCAUGGUGACCUUGAUGGCGGAGGCUCAGGGGGACCUGGACCGUGGACACCACACAGCUGCCCUCCUCCCUCCCGAGGCCAUUUCAGGGCUGGAAUCCCUGCCCUCCUCUCCUUUCCUCCCGGGCUGGUUGUUGCCUUGAGAGUCCGUGCGCUCAUCUCCCCACUUUUACCCCAGGGGGAGGCCCCUCACCUUCCCACCAUAUCCCUUGUACUUCCUCCCACCCUGGACUUGGGGGAGCUGGGGGGAGGGGGCCCUUCCUUCAGCAGCAAACCCUCCUGGUGUAGGGCUGUGGGCCAUCCCACCGCAGCCUGUCCAGGAGCUGCUGAGCCCGUCAGCCCCAACUAGCACCUCCUGUCCAGGCCCGGCCCAGCCCUGCCUCCAGAGCCUACAGAGGGGCCUCGCCCAGGUCCUGCUGCUCCAGAGCUUGUGGGUGCCCACGCUGCAGGCUGUUUGGGGUGGUGGAGCAGAGCACCCGCUGGAGCUGGGGGCUGAGUGGCCGUGGGGGGACCAUGCUCCUCCUGUGGCCCAAGGCCCAGGGGUUCCACCUCGUAAUUUUUGUUUGUUUUUAAACAAGGAAAAUGCAAAAAGCGAGGCGACGGCUUAAAGAUGGAGAACGACCCCCAGGAGGCGGAGUCUGAAAUGGCCCUGGAUGCUGAGUUCCUGGACGUGUACAAGAACUGCAACGGGGUGGUCAUGAUGUUCGACAUUACCAAGCAGUGGACCUUCAAUUACAUUCUCCGGGAGCUUCCGAAAGUGCCCACCCACGUGCCAGUGUGCGUGCUGGGGAACUACCGGGACAUGGGCGAGCACCGAGUCAUCCUGCCGGACGACGUGCGUGACUUCAUCGACAACCUGGACAGGUGGGUGCAGUGGCCCUGCUCCCGAGGGACCCUGCGCGGUGCUCCGGUGUGCGGGGGAGGGUGCUGAGGCAGAGGCCCAGGGAGGGGUUAACGUUAGCAUGGGGCCCGGCGGAUGUGGGUCUCGCCGCUGAGUGGGGCUCACUGAAGCCUGGGUCUCCCCGAUGGCAGGGCCGGGAACUGUGUGCUGGGGAACUGUGUGCCCAGGACUGUGUGCCAGGGUGAAGUGCUGGCACUGUGGGGUCACCUGCAGAAGGGCACUCGGCUUAGCUGCUUAGCAGGGCUCAGCAGGGUCCUGUGGCCUCAGAAGCCUGCAGGAGGAGGGAGGGCAGUGCGGACCCACAGCUGUGGGCCCAGGGGUGAUCCUUGGCACCAGGGCAAGGGUCUUUCUCUUGCAUCUUUCUUCCUUUCUGAAAGCAGACCUCCAGGCUCCUCCUACUUCCGCUAUGCUGAGUCUUCCAUGAAGAACAGCUUCGGCCUAAAGUACCUUCAUAAGUUCUUCAAUAUCCCAUUUUUGCAGCUUCAGAGGGAGACGCUGUUGCGGCAGCUGGAGACGAACCAGCUGGACAUGGACGCCACGCUGGAGGAGCUGUCGGUGCAGCAGGAGACGGAGGACCAGAACUACGGCAUGUACGUGGCCGGACCCGCCCGUGCGGGCGGUGUGGGGGCUGCGGGCGUGGCCGUGGUGCAGGGCCAUGGGCUGCACCAAGGAGACAGCAGAGGGGAGUGUCCCCUGUUUGGGGUAAAUUCGUCAUCUUGGGGCACGGGUGGAGGAGGACUCAGGUUUGCACUGCCCCCAGCAGCCCCCUCACAGUCACCCCUGGCAUGGACUCCUCAUACAGGUCAUGCUGUGCCUGCCACUCUGAGCACCGCUGACCGUGGCCAGGUGCUGGUGCUCGUGGAGUGCAUCAGGGGCUUGGCCUCCCAGAUUGAUGCCAGCAUGGGGUGUGCUUUCUGGGGAGCUGCUUGACUUUGGGAAGCUCCCUGUGUUGAAGAGGCAUACAGGCCAGGACAUGGAGGUCUCUGGUCCUCGACAGCAGAGGGCGGCUCAGAGCAUCCUCCUGAGUGGGCGUGGGCAGUGCAUAGCUCCGGGGUUGCGGCCAGUGGGACAGCUGGCCCGUUCUCUGCCUCAGGCUCCUGCACAGCUAGGGGCUUGGUGCCUCCCCUGGGACCCAGGCAGGGACCACGGAAUCAGUGGCCCUCCUGAGGCCCCCCAGGAGGUCUCUGUUUCCAGGAGAGCCCUGUGGGUAACCUUGGAUCUGGCUGUUGGCUCAGACACACCAAGAGACUGAGAGGGAAGGCAGUUUGAUGCCUGGAGAGGGACCCGUGGCUUCCAGCUGCCAGGCCAGCCCCAGAUUGGAGCCCCCCGCAUGGGCGCUUCUCUGUUGAACCAAUCCUGGCAUUUCCUGGGCCUGAGAGUUGGGUCAGCUGGAUGCUGCGAUGGCCACACGUGCUCCACCAAGCCCCAGCCCCCUCCUCUUCCCAGAAACCCCCGCUCACGGGAAGGUCCAGUUGCUGCCAUCUGGCCACCUCUGCAUGGAGCCCCCAACAGCUGUGCCUCAGAACAGAUCUGAAGUGACUUUCAGGGGAGCUGGACACAUGCACGCUGGUGCCUGCUGUCCCCACCCUUCGGCACUGCUGCUCUUUUUCUGAGAUGGAGUCUCACUCUGUCGCCCAGGCUGGAGCGCAGUGGUGUGAUCUCGGCUCACCGCAAGCUCCGCCUCCCGGGUUCACGCCAUUCUCCUGCCUCAGCCUCCC
rnacentral:sRNA from 1 species